GACGAACGCUAGCGGCGUGCUUAACACAUGCAAGUCGAACGGAAAGGCCCUGCUUGCAGGGUACUCGAGUGGCGAACGGGUGAGUAACACGUGGGUGAUCUGCCCUGCACUUCGGGAUAAGCCUGGGAAACUGGGUCUAAUACCGGAUAGGAGCCAUUUUUAGUGUGAUGGUUGGAAAGUUUUUUCGGUGUAGGAUGAGCUCGCGGCCUAUCAGCUUGUUGGUGGGGUAAUGGCCUACCAAGGCGGCGACGGGUAGCCGGCCUGAGAGGGUGGACGGCCACAUUGGGACUGAGAUACGGCCCAGACUCCUACGGGAGGCAGCAGUGGGGAAGAUUGCACAAUGGGCGCAAGCCUGAUGCAGCGACGCCGCGGGGGGGAUGACGGCCUUCGGGUUGUAAACGCCUUUCGCUAGGGACGAAGCUUUUUGUGACGGUACCUAGAUAAGAAGCACCGGCUAACUACGUG
rnacentral:rRNA from 1 species